rnacentral:lncRNA from 1 species
UAGUUACAUGAAUGUUAACAUGUUGAACUUCUUUUUUCCUUUUAAAUUUAGCAUGACUGGGUAAAUUACAAGAAUUACUUCAUUAAGGAUAUUUUUAUUACGACUAAAACUAAGUGACUUUGCUUGGGAACACUAGGGUAACAUGAAAUUUUAGGGAAAGAAUUUCAUAUUAUCUGUCAUGUAAAAGUCCUUGGUAAGUUUUCAUACUUUCUGUGUUCAGUCACAAGUGCUCUGUGCAUCAAGAUUCUUAGGUUGGUUGAAUCUCCUGCUAGGAAAGCUUUAUGAAGGUGUUAAUUGACCUCAACUUCUCAUUAGUGCCAUUUAUAAGUAGAUGAGGUUGUCAACUAGUUGCUAGAGGUUGUUGGUGUCUCUGCUGCUAAUUAUUUCGUUGCCCUUGCAACGGAAAAGCACCUUAUAAGAAAACCAUCAAGCAGCCUUUUCUUUUGGUGCUUCUUUGUUGAGUGUACGUGUAGCGCAUGUUUGCACAGGUAUUAAUUGUUAGUCAUCUUAUUAACGCAAUUUGUGGUUAAAAAGUAUGUCUAUUAACCCAAGUCAACUAUCGCAAUGCUUCUUUUUCAGUGUAUGUUAGGGUUUGUGUUUCACAUGCGUUCUUCUUUGAUUAACUUCAUCAAAAGCUCACUUACUAACUUUCAACCAAUUCUCUUAAUACUGUUCUUUUUGAGUGUCCAUUACCCAUUUGUGGUUAGAAGUUUUGCCUAUUCAACUGGAGCCAACUCUUCUGUUGGAGUUGUCGGUAAGGGUGUUUCCACAGGUACUAAUUGACAUAAACUUCAUAUUUGUAGGGCCAUUUGUGAUUCCAUCAACUGCAGCCAACUUUAUCUUUCAGCGUAGGUAUCAGACAUACAAGAGUUUGACAAAUCUGUAUGGUUCACAUCAUUCCAACGUGAGUUAGGAAGGAUAUUAGAGAUAUGAUGUUCUUGGAUUUGAAGAACAUUCCCCGUCAAGUUUUUUCUUUGGCUGGCAUUUUGAUGAUGUGCAAGUACUUUUAUGGUCAACUUUAUACUGCUUGAAUUUUCAAAUGAAAGCCGAACUUAGCUCACCAAGUAAUUUACAUAUUUCAAUUAGUUUUCUCAUGGAUUUGGAACUGUAGGGUAUGGUUACGGACUGUCUUUUGGUUUAUUGUAUCAGUAAGAAAUGGAGGGAGGGCGCCCCACUGAAUAGAACUGGGGUAGGUUCAUUCCCAAUGUUACUACUACAUGUCCAAAUGAUGGCAUCGUGCAGCGGUAGUAUCAAUGUUUGCUACACCCACUGUAGACACUUGCUAUUAUGAUUUUGGCCUACCAUCCUUACGAUCUCCUGUUUGUCCUCCUCUAUUUUGUUCCGUCUUCCGUAACCCUGAUGGGAAUAUGCUCGUUGUUAAAAAUGUAGCUGAAAUGAGUCGAUGCAUCUUCCUUCGUCUUGGCCUCUCGUCGUGGGUUAUCCAAACCAACGUUGUCGUGGUUGUGAACGUCGUGCUUUUUUGAUGCCGCUCCCUGCUUUCUCUCUCGGAGUAAAAAAGGAAAUCAAGGAGACUCAGAAACCUUCCUCACCUCGCCUUCUUCUUUGUGUGAAGGCAUCUCCUCCUCCCUCACGAUCCGGAAGCAUUGGUUUGGAAGAUGAGAGGCGCUUGGCGGUUCCUCUUUCUGGUUCUUCUUCGACUCCUUCCUCUCCAUGUUCAUGGCGAUGGCGAAGGUGACUGCUCCACCGACGACGAAGGCCGCGACAAGAAGAAGGCCCUUCCGCUCAAGAUCGCAGCGAUAGUUUCCAUCCUGGUUUGUGGUGGCAUCGGGGUGGGUGUUCCCGUGCUUGGCAUGUGGAUACAGUCGCUUCGUCCGGAGAAGGACAUCUUCUUCGUCAUCAAAGCUUUUGCCGCCGGAGUCAUUCUGGCCACCGGCUUCAUCCACAUAUUGCCGGAUGCGUUCGAGACCCUGACCUCCUCAUGUCUGGCCGCGAGUCCUUGGCAGGACUUUCUGUUCGCGGGGUUCUGCGCGAUGGUCGGCGCUAUCUGGACGCUGAUGGUGGACACUCUCGCCACCGGAUACUUCAGCCGAUUAAACGGUGACAGAUUGCUGCCGACUUCAUUGAGCGAAGCCACGAAUGGCGAUGUGGAGGCAACUCACGAUCACACCCAUGGUGCCGCUGUGAUGCAGCCGGAGGAUUCUUCGGCCCAGCUCAUCCGACAUCGUGUUGUUUCUCAGGUAAGGAACCGAUGCUUCACCUUGUGCCUUCACAAACCUUGUCGAUGUACCGCGAAUUAACGAUAACCGCGAGCUAGGUUUUGGAGCUCGGGAUCGUGGUGCAUUCUGUGAUCAUCGGGAUCUCUUUGGGGGCAUCGGAGCCUCCAUCCACCAUACGACCACUGGUAGCUGCUCUCAGUUUCCAUCAGUUCUUCGAAGGCAUGGGUCUCGGAGGCUGUAUCGUUCAGGUACGCUUAUUUUGCUGCAUGAAUAGCUGCUUCUUCUUCUUCUUCCUCCUUGGAAAUAUUACUCUUCUGGAGUUCCUUCUCGUUGCAGGCAAGGUUCGAGUUCAAGGCAAUGGUGACAAUGGGGCUCUUCUUUUCGCUCACGACUCCGGUUGGGAUCGCCAUCGGCACUGGGAUAUCAUCCGUGUACAACGAGAACAGCCCUACUGCAUUGAUCGUUCAAGGACUUCUGGACUCUGUCAUCCGUAACUCGAUGACUUCACCGAUGCCUCUGCAUGGACGUGUGACUUUUGUCGUAUUCCUGAUCACAUGCAUUACGUGCACCAUGUUUGCCGCCUGAGAGGAAUAGGAGAGAGCCAACGCAGAGUGGGAACAGAGACUCCCGACGCAGUCGAUUCGAGGCCGCCACAGAGAUGCUGGCUGCCCACCACCCAGAAGCUGACCAGGUGGCACUCCUCGUCGAGGAUCUCGACGAGCUUGCGGUUGGUCAGCGCCGGCAGGCCCGAUACGAGAUGGACGUCGCCGUCGAUCACGUGGCAGCUCUUUACGAAUUACUUGUAGGCCUGCAGCCGGUCGAAACGCCGCACCACCGACCGCACGGUGGCCACGCGCGCUCACGGACGGCGCACCUCCCCUGAGGCUGUUCCUGGAGUGGGUCUGCGACCGAUGCGAUGGUGCGGAGGGAAGGAUGGAGUGCGGCAUGGCAACUGGGUUUGGCUUGGAGGGCUCAUGGAACUUGCAUGAUUGCUCCCAUUGCCAUUGAGCUUCCUUCUCAUGUAUCAAUCACGAAUCUUGACACACUCGUUUGUUGCAAUAAUUAAAAUUAAUGGACUUAUAGGAACUACAUGAUCCUGAGUUAUUACUCCUCUUAUAGAUCAUCGCUACAAAGUCUCCACUAAUUUUAGCAAGAUCACAGCUGAUUUGAAAGUAUAGCGUAUGUAUGAUGAAGUGUGAAGACUAAAUAUUUAAUGCUAAGAGGAGAGCCACAGAGGAUCCACGAAAUCACAGCCUACAAAUCCAGCAGGGGAAGUGAAAUCUGUAGGUCAUAAGCAUCAAUCCAUUCAUGUCCUUUAAAGCAGCCCUACUGGUCAAGAACUCAAAAGCCCAUGAAGCUGCAGGCUCAGCGUCAUCACAUCGGUGGCCACAGACACAGGCACAGUGAUGUGAUGUACAGCUGCUACAAUAACCUGGGGACACUGCUCUCCAAAGUUAGGUUAGGAUGGAGCCCGUAAACUUUGGCAGGGAUAGGGUGUCAGCUUUAGUGCGCAGGAAGAAGGGAGAGCCGAGAGCGGACGAAAGGGAGUGUCCUUUAGCCAUUUAAGAGAGCCCUCGGAACCGGUGACCGGGAGCGACGAGGAGGAAGAGGGUAGGAGAAAGACGUUGAGGCACUCCAAGUUCCGAGGGCCGAGUGGUGGUGGUGCUUCUGCACCAGUUAAACCUAGGUUUCCUCUGUAACUAAGACUGCCCUAAUCCUCAUUCAAGUGCCAUUCGACGUUCGGUCAAGCUCCUACCGGUGAAUCCUGACAUGUAUAUACCUCAAGCAUCUGAAGAAAUGCCCAGAGCCGAUGGCCACUGCGCUGCUGCACAGUCCAAGAACUACUUCACAUGAAGGAAACAGUGAAAGGAAAGCUACACUACCGCCAGAGAUUAGUCUGCAACCUGUGGAAAUGAUUGGUGGAGCUUUAUUUUCCCACCAACUCACCUAAUGCCUGCACAGGCCAUUAAAUUCGGCAUAUAAAGGCUGGAGAAGCUGAGUUCCUUUCUAACAAAGCUAUGCCACCCACCCGAGUACAUAUCCAACUAUAAAUUCACCCCAGUAGCCCCAAGGUUUCCCCAUCCCUCUCUCUCUGUCUCUCUCUCUCUCUCUCGCUCUCGGUGGGUUGACGAGGCAAAAGUAAGGAAGAAUCUGUAAAGCUCAGGAGGGAUAGCGCCAUGGACGAUGAGGAACAUGAAUUCUGAAACCAUUUGGUGGUUCUGCUUUCGAGUCUAAUGCGCUAUCUAUCCUGAGUUCUAUGGGUUCUUCGUACUACUACUACUCUAGGAGGAGUUUGAUGCGUGGGGAAUGCGUAGUAUCAUCCUCUCUUAUUCUCAUCCACUUCCGCAUAUUAUUCUACGCUUUCCAUUUGCCAGCAGCAGUUGGUUUCUUCUCACACCAAAACUAGUAGCUACGUCACCAUUCUCACUACGAAGCUUCCCAAGCUGCUUGUUUCCUUCUCAACAUAUGGUAAGGUACACCUUCAUACCAGUUCAAGGUACGUAACAGGAUGUGAAUUGCGUUCUCCUUCAACCCUUCUCUUUCUCUCUCUCUAUGCUUUAUUCAUCGAGUAGCCAAGCAUUUCCGUAGACCUGGUUCCGUGUUUUAGCAGAUAUCCUCGGAAAGGGAAGUGCAAUUGACCUCUGAUCCCACAGCUCUAAAGGAAACGUUAGAUGCAAACAUACACCCAGAAGACGAGGCUGGGCAGCGGAUGAUGCCUCCAAGCAGAAAACUAAGGGCAAGGUGCGGACAUAAUUCAACCGAGUACGAUCGCACAAGUCACGAGAUACGGAGGUGGAAAUUAAUAGCAGCAGAGAAAAUGGCAGCCGCCUGAGCGAAUACAGAGACGGCCGUAUAAUCUCCUGCCACUGCGAAUGCGGCAGCAUGUCAUAUGCAUUAACGAGCUGCCACUCUUUCACCGUCACCGCAUGCGUCGUAUAUGUUAAUAUUCUGUCAAUAUCGCACUGUCACAAAACAAAAACCUUGAAACUGUUCAUGACGAGUGUGGUAAAAAUAUAAGAUUUACCAGCGCAGGGUACGGACGGCUCUCACCGCAUGCAAAUCAUGAGAUGCAGACGACUCCUCUUUCCGAACACAGUGAUAGUGUCCCCUUUUCAUUUAAUCCGAGUCGAAAAAUAUUUGGGGAAAGUUCUUCUUCUCUAUUACGUUUAUCAUUCAUGAAUCCAACACGAAAUGGGAACGAUGACGAAGAAAGCAGUUCUUGCUUCGAGAUAUUGACUUUCCCGAAUCAAAAAGCUAUCAGUGCGAUUCGUCGUCCACCGCACCUCUCGGAUGAGACGAAGCAAGCAAUCCUUAUAGCUCCCUACUUGGAAACCAUUUAUGAUCUUUGGCGCAUGCUUUCCUCUCUUUUUCCACGGAUAUGCAUGCAAGCUGGACUAAUGAAUCUACAUAAAGGUUUUGCGUGAAGGACGAAUCAAUCUAUUGUGAUAGGAAUUCGGGAUAUGGAGGAAUUAAUGGAAAGAAUAAAUCAAAGUUGCAUAAAAUAAAUCGAUCCAAUUUUCUAAUAUAGUGAUAGAUUAUUUAAAUAUCCUUAACAUUAUUUUUUAUAUUAAAUAUAAUUAAUUAAUUAAUUAAGUAAUUAAUAUUUUUAAAUUAUUCAUUUAAGAGGGCAUUUAUGUUAAUAAAAAUGAGAUUGACGUGAGAAAUAAAUUAAAAUCAACUCGGUUUUACAUAAUUAUCAUAAUGUUUAUGUUUCUAAUAUUAGUUGAUAUUUUAAAUUUUUUUUAUUAAAUAUGCGAUCCGAUUCUCAUGAAGUAGAAGAAAAAUAAACAUAAUUGAAUUAAGGUACUUAGAAUGAAUUUAAGACUCCAAAUCCCAUGAGCAACAAAGCUCACCAUGUCCUAAUGUUAAUCUAGCAUACAGAUUGAUCCAAUGGAAAACAUUGACUUUUACUCCAGAAUUUAAUUGACAAGUGAAAUUAAUUCCACACAAAAUCGGAACCACAAGGAAUAAUAUUUCCUUAAUUUGUUAUAUUUGGAACAUUAUCCCAUCAUUUACUUAGUAGGAUUCAGUUGGUGUCAUGGCACAGUUGUUUGUUUCCUUUCCUUGUAGGAAUAAGAUAUCCUUUCCUUGCACACAAUGUUCUUAACCUAAUUAUCAGAUGGUUAAUCGAUACCCUUUCCACUCAACCGAUGAUCAAUCAACCUUGAUAUGGUGUCUUCACGGCGGAUCCGAAUGAGAUAUGGAUUAACAGGUGAAUAAACGAUCAAAUAAUCCUCCCCUCUUCAACCUUAUCCACACUCCCGAGUAUAUAACCUCGCAUGCAUGCACCCAAGCUUUGGUCCGGUGACAAGCAUGGCACGCUUCCUCCUUCACUUGCUCCUCUUCUUCUCCUCCCUCUUCUUCGACUUCACCGCCUCCGCUGACAACGGCACCCGUGCACCCGACUUCUCCGCCGUCCUGUACUUCGGUGACUCCACGCUGGACACCGGAAACAAUGGCUACAUCCUCACGUUGGUCAGGGGCAACCAUCCCCCUUACGGCCGGGACUUCCCGGGAAGCGUUGCGACAGGGAGGUUCUCCAAUGGCCUGCUUGUGCCCGACCUUCUUUGCUCCGAGCUCGAGAUCAAGCAGCUGUCGCCGCCGUUCAUGGACCCGAAUCUCUCGGACGACGACAUCCGCACGGGCGUCAACUUCGCUUCGGCCGGGUCGGGGUUCGACGACGCGACCUCGGCUCUCCUGAACACGAUCCCCAUAUCGAGGCAAUUGGAAAUGUUCGAGGAGUACCUCGCCAGGCUCAAAGCUGUUGCUGGGGAGGAGGACGCCAAAAGAAUCGUAAGCGACGCUUUGUUCCUCGUCAGUGCGGGAACCAAUGACUUCCUGUUGAACUACUAUGACCUGCCCACCACCACCAGGACUGCGAUGACCAUAGAUGAGUACCAGGAUUUCCUGCUCCAAAACCUCCACAAGUUUCUCAAGGUAAUCGAUGCUUUCCAUCGCAAGCACUUCGUAGUCGAUUCCUUGUUCAUUUGCUGUUUCAUGCAUGCAGGAUAGCUAUGAUCUCGGAGGCCGUAGGUUCAUAGUCGUUGGCCUUCCUCCGAUCGGGUGCUUACCGCUCCAAAUGACGCUAAGCGUGGUUCAUUCUGUCGUCCGGACGUGCGUCGAUGAGCAGAACUCAGAUGCGCGGCACUACAAUUCCAAGCUCAAGCACCUUCUGCUCAAGACCCAGCAAUCUCUUCCCGGGAGCAAGUUUGUCUACCUCGACUUGUAUGACUUCUUGAUGGAGGUCCUCAACAAUGCAGCCAAGCAUGGUAAGCCGACCUGCAUCACUUCUCCCUCUCGAUCAAACAGAACGACCAGCUUGGAGUUCGAGUAACUCUACCUAACGCUGUCGAAAUGUGCUCUGGUUCGAUUCAGGUUUCCAUGAAACCAAGAGAGGAUGUUGCGGGACGGGGCUGUUCGAAGUAGGUCCUCUUUGCAACCGGUUGAACCCAGCUUGCCCGGACGCGUCGAGAUUUGUGUUUUAUGAUGCCAUCCAUCCGUCGCAGAGAUUUUAUGAGUUGAUCACCGACUACGUUGUGGAGGACAUCAUUCCACAUUUGCGACGACGAGUGUGAUUAACGAGCCUGUCAUCGAGUCCAUUCAUCUUUGACCCGUUUCGCUCUAUAACAAACGUUUCCAUUGUGAUACGUGUGGGCAACGUCUGUAGUUAUGGCGCUUUUGUGCAACACAAGUCCACUUAGUUCGUGUGUAGCUCUCGCUGACAUUAGUUUAUUUAUGAUGCUCCUCGGAGCAGAGUACCGACGCGAACCGCCGACCGCACUCUUCUUGCGUUUAUAUCGAAAUGACGCUUUACCCCACGACUAGAGCGCUUCCGAGAUCUACAAGUAGUUCACCGGAAGGCCUCCCGCGAAGUGAAGCUUUACCCCACGACUAGAGCGCUUCCGAGAUCUACAAGUAGUUCACCGGAAGUUCUCCCGCCGGAGAUGAUGUCUUCCGCCCCCUCCCUGCCUCCCCUCCCCAUCUCAAACCCACCUGCCGCCUCCGCCGCCCCCGUCGCCCCCUCCUCCGCCGCCCCCGUCGCCACUCCCGCCUUCCGCCUCUUCCUCUCCCGCCUCUCGGACUCCGUCGGCCGCUCCCUCUCCAACCGCCGCCCCUGGUCGGAACUCGCCGACCGAUCUGCCUUCUCCCGUCCGGAUUCCCUCUCCGACGCCUCCUACCGCCUGCGCAAGAACCUCACCUACUUCCGCGUCAACUACGCCGCUGUCGUCGCCGCCGUCCUCGCCAUCUCCCUCAUCACCAACCCCUUCUCUCUCGUCGUUCUCCUCGCCCUCCUCGCCGCCUGGUGUCUCCUCUACCUAUUCCGCCCCUCAGAUCCGCCGCUCGUCAUCCUUGGCCGGACCUUCUCGGAUCGCGAGACCCUCGGCAGUCUUGUCCUCAUCACCGUUUUCGUAGUCUUCCUCACCUCCGUCGGGUCGCUUCUGAUCUCAGCCCUGGUCGCCGGUGCUGCCAUCGUCGGCGCCCAUGGGGCUUUCCGGGUGCCGGAGGAUCUUUUCCUCGAUGAACAGGAAACGGGCGCUGCCAGCAGUCUCUUAUCCUUUCUUGGAGGAGCCGCCUCGGCUGGACCUGCCGUCGUCGCCGCUGCCCGUGUCUGAUCUACCAAUCUACAGCUCUCAACUGCGCCGAGGUUCUUGAUUUCUUGUUAUCUUGUUCUUCCUCUCUCUUGUUUGUAUGAAACAAAAGUAUAUUCCAUUGAUAUGUUCCACGGUUUCUUUCAGCAAUGUCUUUUGUUCUAUAUACAGACGACAUCAGACUAAAUGUUCUUGUUACUUUAUGUGGUUAUCGAUGCAUACAGUAUGUUACACCUUAGAUCUAUGGAAGAAUUGUAUGAUCUAAUCUCUUCGGUAUGCAUUGGGUGUCAUAAUUAGAUCUGGAUCUCCUUAUUUCAUCUUGACAUUCUGUUUUUUAGGUAUGAGAUCGAUCUGACUACUAUGUUUUGUAGGGGGUGUCAAGAGUUCUCAGAUCUGAAAGAAAUUAAUUUACAUUUCAGAAUCUAGUAAGCAGAUUCUGCCUUGUAGAGUUCAUUUUGGUGCAAUUAUGUUUUGGUUGUCUUCAGAUGCUAGAUAGUAGAGAGUUGGUAUAUCAGAUCUAUUGCUGGAGAAGUUCUUUGUUGCUUCUGUAUUGAGUUUCACAAAUUCUUUUUUAUCUUUGUGUGGAUGGAUGUUAAUUGUUGACAAAUUUAGAAAUCAAUAAUGCAUUUAGAAUAACCUUUUAUUUAUGUUGUUCUACUGGAUAAGGGGAAGCUGCUAUAAUUUGUGAAUAUCUUAAAUGAUAUUACACUGAUUUUUUGCCAGUUGAUUAGACAGCAAAAAUUCUAGGAGAUCACUGCUUAGGCAUUCAGUUCAGUUUUAGUCUUAGUCUUGUUUUGAUAAGAGACCCUACAUGGUUAUUCAAUAAGGAGGCACCGGAGGUUGGUUCUUUAUGCAUAGUUAUCUAGUGAGGAGGCGAUAGAGGCUUUUCCGUAAGUGUUUAUUCAAUAAUACUCUCGUGCCCUACUUAAGAUCUUUUGAGCUAGCAUCUCUAAAUUAGUCCUUUUAAGUCUCCUCUUACUGAGAUGAAAAUGUUGAGGUAGGCACGUGAAGUUACUGGAAAAGAUAAGAACAGAAAUAUUCUUGUUUGUGAAUAAUUAGUAUUAUGAAUCACCUUAAGAUGAUGUGAACAUGUUAUAGGAGGAAUUUUUGAUGUUUUGGCUGGACAAGAUGGGACAACUAGUAUUUGUGGUGAAAGGAAAGAGGAAAGAAUCUAAGACUUCUCUGGGAAUUAUUGAUGUAUACUAGGAAUUAGUAUUAGUGGUGAAAGGAAAGAGGAAAGAGACUCAAGACUUAUCUAGGGAUUAUAUUAAAAAAUUGAAUGGUAUUGAUUUAACUAAGAUGAAAAGAGAGUUAAGAAGACUUAUCUUGGAAUUAUUGAUUUAACUAAAAAUACAGAACUCAGUAGUGGAAAAAGAGUCCAUGUAGUACUGUCAAUCUCAAAUAGUUGGGACAUUAGUUCUUUUAUUGUUGUUCUACCUACGGUGUGUGCACAUGCUUGUGAUUUUUUUGUGCCUGAAGUAGUUUCUCUAUAUCCCUAUGUAUCUGGGACUUAUUAUAUGGAUGCAUCUCCAUUAUCGAAAUACUUCUUUUCUCUCUUUUUUUUUUUUCGUUCAAUUCAAGUUCUUAUGAUAACACUUUUAUGCAUCACCAUAACAUAAUGCAUACAUCUACACCUGACAGGAGAGAUAGCUACAUGGUUUGGUCAAAUAAAUUUCAGUUUAUCUUCUUUGUUAAUGCUUUGUUGCUUUUUUCUUCCAUUCAUGAGGAAAUCCGGUUGAGACAUCAGACUUUGUGAUUAGCUGCAUAGUUUGUCUCUGCUGUUUUGCUCCAUUGGGCAUUAUCAGGUUGAAGCAUUAUUUACAUGACUUUCACAAAAAGAGAUCCUACCAACUAGGUCCGUGGAGUUCGGAUUCUUGUAUUAUCAUGUUAACUUUAAAUCUCAUUUUGACGUGACCAUGUAAACCUAUGGAUGACAUCUUUUAAAUCUUUUUGGGAAGUUAGAUACUAUUGAAAUAAGGAUAAAUUAUGUAUUUUCCUUCGUUGGUUACCAAUAUCCUGAUUGGAUAGAUGGAACUUUUGUACGCAUAUCGUGCUACUGCAAAUUACAAGAAUUUGUAGGGGGUACAAUCUAAGGAUUGAAAUUUUAUACCGUAUCGAAGUUUCGAGAUUCGUUCGAGUACGGUAUUAAAUAUCGAGCGGUAUAUAUAUAUAUAUAUAUAUAAUAAAAAAAGAUGACAUCACCUCAUCUCUGCCUGUGUGAAGAGAAGGUGGGGAGAAGAAACUGUUUCCUUCUCCUCGUGCAAAAAAGAGAGACGAGGCGAUGUCGUCUCCUCGUUUCUUUUGCCUGCUUGGGGAGAAGAAACGUCACCUUGAUGACGCUUGGUUUCUUCUCCCUGCGACAUCGUCGAGGAUUCUUCUCCCUGCACGGAUGAGAAGUCGUCGACGACGCCAAGGCCUUGUCACCUCAAACAAGGAGGGAGAGCGGCGUCGGAUAUCCAGGUUCUCCUCUUCUUCUCCCUCUUCUUUCUUCUCCCUUGGCUAAUACCACUGGGUAGCGGGUGGUAACGAGGCGGAAACAACUCCAAUCGACGGUAGCGGGUGGUCUGCGUACCGGUCUACUGGCGGACCAAUACAUACCGUUCGAUAUUGGCAGUAUUAUUUGAAAUUAGAAACCUUGGUACAAUCCAUUAACUACUGCAAAAUUCCUACUAUGUUAUGUAAUUAUGUCAUUGCUACUUAAUUCCUACUAUCUCGUAUAACUAUAUGCCAUCUUAUUCUAUAAUCUUAAACACGAUUGCUCUGUAAAAUGUGGUUUCGUUUAGUUACAUGAAUGUUAACAUGUUGAACUUCUUUUUUCCUUUUAAAUUUAGCAUGACUGGGUAAAUUACAAGAAUUACUUCAUUAAGGAUAUUUUUAUUACGACUAAAACUAAGUGACUUUGCUUGGGAACACUAGGGUAACAUGAAAUUUUAGGGAAAGAAUUUCAUAUUAUCUGUCAUGUAAAAGUCCUUGGUAAGUUUUCAUACUUUCUGUGUUCAGUCACAAGUGCUCUGUGCAUCAAGAUUUUUAGGUUGGUUGAAUCUCCUGCUAGGAAAGCUUUAUGAAGGUGUUAAUUGACCUCAACUUCUCAUUAGUGCCAUUUAUAAGUAGAUGAGGUUGUCAACUAGUUGCUAGAGGUUGUUGGUGUCUCUGCUGCUAAUUAUUUCGUUGCACUUGCAACGGAAAAUCACUUUAUAAGAAAAUCAUCAAGCAGCCUUUUCUUUUGGUGCUUCUUUGUUGAGUGU